UCAGCUGCAGUCGAAGAUGGCGUGAUAACGAGACAGCGCGGACUACGAGCUUUGUGUGAAAAAGUUGUGUUUUGUGGUGUUUCUCGUAGUGUUUUACAGUCACAUUAUAUCAAGAUUGGAAGCUUAAGAAUUGUGAUUAGUUUAUUGAAACAGACAUCCAGUGAAGACUGCGGAAAUUGCCUGCCGGAGGGUAAGCACUGAAGGCGUGAUUCCAAAGCAACGCCACACAAAAGCCCAGUGGCUGGGAGAAGAGUAAUGGAUCUUCUAAGAUAUAAAAGGAUCGACAGACUUUACGUAGUUGCUUUGCGGUCAAAUGAAUGGAAGAAUCUGAAGCCAUCUCUGCAAAACAACAAAAGACUCGGUGGAGGAGAGUACUAGCUCAUCAAUAUAUCCAUUAUCGUGUUCACGUGACCCUGCAUAAAUCCAGUCCACCCACACAGUAAGUAUUUAAGAGUCAUUUUAAUAUUAUCCUUGAAUCUACUCUUUCAUUUGCCAAGCUGCAUAUCGAGGGUCUUCGACUAAAAUGUUUGUUUUUCUCAGCUUCUCGUCAAUCUCUUUCAGGUAAAGCAUAUAAAAUAAAACACCUAGUUGCGGAGAAUCCGAGAAUCAGUCGCAUUAUCGUAUGUGUGCGUGUGACAUCGGGGUAAUUGUAAAUUUUUAUCGAGAUGCAAAAGAUAUUUAAACAUUUAAUUAAUUAUAUUGGCCUUAGUCGUUUAUUGAUUAACAUCAAAGACUUGUUUGCAGGCACUGAUUUCCUUAAAACAGAAUCUAACAAACUUUAGUCACGAAGGAAUCAACAGGCUAGAAGAAU